GACAGCGGCCUCACGCGUUAGGCGGAAUCACUGGGCUUAAAGCGUGUGUAGGCGGAUCGUUAAGUGCCUUGUGAAAUCCCACGGCUUAACUGUGGAACGGCUGGGCAUACUGGCGGUCUUGAGCCAUCUAGGGGCGACUGGAACAAACGGUGGAGCGGUGAAAUGCGUAGAUAUCGUUUGGAACGCCAAUGGUGAAAACAGGUCGCUGGGGAUGAGCUGACGCUGAGGCACGAAAGCGUGGGGAGCAAACAGG
rnacentral:rRNA from 1 species